UUAUUUUAAUGUUUCGGGGCCGAAAAUGAAGGAAAUUUUUCAAACUUUUUCGGGUUUUCGGUCGCAUGAAAACUUACAUGUGAAUCUGUUUGCGAAGGUUGAUUUAAGGCCCUUUCGUUCGGCCUACAAUUCGCAAAAUUGAUUAAAAUAAAUCGUCCAAAGCAGGUAAAUAGAUAACUAGUAGUGACUUAUUGCAGAAAUUAUUGUUAAACGAAAGAAAGAAAAACAUAAUUAGCUUCGUAAAAUUGAACUUUCUUUAACACUGUAAUCCUGUAAACAUCAAAAUUACGUAUUAACUUGAAGUCCGUAGUCGCGCAGAAUGAAAAGACAAUUGCAUUUUUGAAUAAAAUUUAAAAUUUGACCCAUUCCUAGUUUGUGUAAACAGACAAAAACAAAUUUGUGUGGUAUUUCAAAAUGAACCGCCCAGGAAUUAAUCUACUACUUUUUGACAACUGCCAAAAAUAAAUGGAAUGUAUGUGGAAUGGGUGGAAUGGGUUUCAAUUCAAAAUCUA